rnacentral:rRNA from 1 species
AACGAACGCUGGCGGCGUGUUUAAGACGUGCAAGUCGCACGGGACAAGUUGAGUAGUAAUACGAUUCUUGUUUAGUGGCGCACGGGUGAGUAACAUGUGAAUUACAUGCCCUUCAGUGGGGAAUAGCCCAGGGAAACUUGGAUUAAUACCCCAUGGUAUCGCAAGAUUAAAGGUGGCCAGCAAUGGCUGUCGCUGAAGGA